GCCGGAUAGCUCAGUUGGUUCGAGCAUGGUUCUGAUAAUGCCAAGGUCACAGGUUCGAUCCCCAUACAGGACA
rnacentral:tRNA from 1 species